rnacentral:rRNA from 1 species
UGUUAUAUGUGUCAUACGAGACUGCCGGUAAAAAGACCGGAGGAAGGUGAGGAUGAUGUCAAGUCAGCAUGACCUUUAUAUCCAGGGCUACACACACGCUACAAUGGUCUGUACAAUGGGUAGCCAAGCCGCGAGGCGGAGCCAAUCCUGAAAGCAGGCCUCAGUUCAGAUUGCAGUCUGCAACUCGACUGCAUGAAGCCGGAGUUGCUAGUAACCGCAGGUCAGCAAUACUGCGGUGAAUACGUUCCCGGGUCUU